rnacentral:rRNA from 1 species
UACAGAGGAGCCAAGCGUUGUCCGGAUUGACUGGGCGUAAAGCGCACGCAGGCGGACGCGCGCGUGGGGUGUGAAAUCUGGCCGCUUAACGGCCAGGCGCCAUCCCAUACGGCGCGUCUGGAGUGAUGCAGAGGUCGGUGGAAUUGCCGGUGUAGUGGUGAAAUGCGUAGAGAUCGGCAGGAACACCCAGGGGGGAAACCAGCCGA